CCUACGGGUGGCUGCAGUGGGGAAUAUUGGACAAUGGGGGGAACCCUGAUCCAGCCAUGCCGCGUGUGUGAAGAAGGCCCUCGGGUUGUAAAGCACUUUCAGUGAGGAAGAACGCCUGGUGGUUAAUACCCAUCAGGAAAGACAUCACUCACAGAAGAAGCACCGGCUAACUCCGUGCCAGCAGCCGCGGUAAUACGGAGGGUGCGAGCGUUAAUCGGAAUUACUGGGCGUAAAGCGCGCGUAGGUGGCUUGAUAAGCCGGUUGUGAAAGCCCCGGGCUCAACCUGGGAACGGCAUCCGGAACUGUCAAGCUAGAGUGCAGGAGAGGAAGGUAGAAUUCCCGGUGUAGCGGUGAAAUGCGUAGAGAUCGGGAGGAAUACCAGUGGCGAAGGCGGCCUUCUGGACUGACACUGACACUGAGGUGCGAAAGCGUGGGUAGCAAACAGGAUUAGAUCCCCUGGUAGUC
rnacentral:rRNA from 1 species